CCCUUAGAUGUCCUGGGCUGCACGCGCGCUACACUGAUGUGUCCAGUAAGCACCUAACCUCUUCCGAAAGGAACGGGUAACCUUUGCAAAGCACAUCGUGAUGGGGAUAGAUUAUUGCAAUUAUUAGUCUUGAACGAGGAAUUCCUAGUAAGCACAAGUCAUCAGCUUGUGUUGAUUACGUCCCUGCCCUUUGUACACACCGCCCGUCGCUCCUACCGAUUGAAUGGUCCGGUGAAGCCUCGGGAUUGUGGUUGGUUUCCUUUAUUGGAGAUUGAUUGCGAGAACUUGUCUAAACCUUAUCAUUUAGAGGAAGGUGAAGUCGUAACA
rnacentral:rRNA from 1 species